GCGGGAGGUUCCUGCCCACUGGAGCCCUGUGACCCCCUCGGUUUGGCGUAGAAGGAUUCCCUCCCUACAGUGGCUCUGUGACCCCCUCAGACAGAAGCACAGCCGGGCGGCCACACAGACCUGGCACACACGGGCGAGGCCGGCGCAGGUGCGGGAGCUGCGCUGCCAACUGCUGCCCCGCAAACCAGCGGAAACCACAGCCUGGGGAUCAGCUGGCUGACCCUGACUUUAUCAUUUUAGCUUUACCUUCUAAUAUCUGAAAAUUAGCAAAAAGUCGAGCAAUGAAAAAAAUGUAAAGAAAAAGUAAAAACUUAAAAAUUACGUUUGAAAUUAAAACUGUAGGGACAUUUUGAAACUGAUGAAGAAAAAUUUGCCAAAAUUACCAAAGCUUUUAGAACUAUUACUUCAAAAUGUAGCAACAUUUAAUAUUAUGAAAGAGACCUACACUGUCUAUGUCUGGUGCUCAAUUUGGAUGUUAAGACGCCCGGUAACCUCCUGGAUCAACCAGGCUGGUUAGGUAGGAUGCUGUAUUAGAGGAAUUUAGUUGUUUUUCUUUACCACUGAAGAAAACAAAACAUUGGUUAAAAAUAUUUCCUGACUUCUGUUUUCAAAUAAUUGAGAAGCCUCCUAUGAAACACCUGGGAAUACUGGAUGAAUGUACAGCACAGAAUGGUGGCUGGAAUCCUCAUUUGAAUAAACUGCAGAGACAGCAAGUGAGACAGCCUCCACAGACAACUCAAUCUCCUACUUCCUCUACGCUUCUGAACUGAGACUAGGUGGACUUCGAGUCACGUGACGUGCAGGAGAUGGUUUAGCUGGAGACUUCUUCAGGGCCCACCAAGGACACCAGAGAGAGUUCCAGAAGGAGCGGGCCAUUAGCCAAUUUCCAUUCCAGGUCUGGCUACAGACUCCGCCACGCACUGUGGAGCCCCUGCCUCGUGUGUGGUGAAGUGUGGGACCCAACCCCGACAGUCUCUUCUGCCUGGGACUUCUGGGCUCCUUCCACGGAGGGGCCCAUGGUCACCUCUGCUCGGAGGGUCACAGUCCAAGUUCCUGCCACCACCCUCCGAGUUGCUCUCCCCCCAGCUGGGGACCUCGCACAGCGCAGGCCGGGCUGGGGUGGGCUCCAGAGGGCGGAGCAGGAACCUCACCGGAAACUUCUGACUGUGGACACAUGGCAACGGCCAGGUGCUCACGGCCCCAGCCAGGCCGAUGCAGUCCAGUGUCAGCCACUUUCUUAAAGACUUUGGUUCCUCAGAGAGAGAAAUAGUUUGCACGUAAGAACUUCCACAUGGUUUACAAAUUCAGAAUAAACUAUCACAUGUGCUGCACACAUAGAACGAGGACUGCGCAUGUGCAUCUCUGCUGAGAGUGUUCCUUUGAAAAGGCUCCAACUAGCUGGGCGCGGUGGCGCAUGCCUGCAGUUCCAGCUAUUUGGGAGGCUGAGGCAGGAGAAUCACUGGAGCCC